rnacentral:rRNA from 1 species
AACGAACGCUGGCGGCAUGCCUAACACAUGCAAGUCGAACGAGACCUUCGGGUCUAGUGGCGCACGGGUGCGUAACGCGUGGGAACGUGCCCUUAGGUUCGGAAUAACUCCCCGAAAGGGGUGCUAAUACCGGAUAAUGUCUUCGGACCAAAGAUUUAUCGCCUUUGGAUGGGCCCGCGUUGGAUUAGCUAGUUGGUAGGGUAAAAGCCUACCAAGGCGACGAUCCAUAGCUGGUCUGAGAGGAUGAUCAGCCACACUGGGACUGAGACACGGCCCAGACUCCUACGGGAGGCAGCAGUGGGGAAUAUUGGACAAUGGGCGAAAGCCUGACCCAGCAAUGCCGCGUGAGUGAUGAAGGCCUUAGGGUUGUAAAGCUCUUUUACCCGGGAUGAUAAUGACAGUACCGGGAGAAUAAGCUCCGGCUAACUCCGUG